rnacentral:rRNA from 1 species
UACGUAGGGAGCAAGCGUUGUCCGGAAUCAUUGGGCGUAAAGCGCGCGUAGGCGGCCUUGCAAGUCCGUUGUGAAAGUCAAAGGCUCAACCUUUGAAAGCCGAUGGAUACUGCAAGGCUGGAGUCCGGAAGAGGCGAGUGGAAUUCCUGGUGUAGCGGUGGAAUGCGCAGAUAUCAGGAGGAACACCAAUAGCGAAGGCAGCUCGCUGGGACGGUACUGACGCUAAGGCGCGAAAGCGUGGGGAGCGAACAGG